CGGGGGGGUAUACCCGAAAAAUGAAAAAACCCAAACUUUGAAGGUCGAUAUCUCGGCUUCUAUGGGAGCUAUCGGAAAAAUUCCAACGGUUUUGUCUUAGUUUCGUCAUUCUGAAUCCAACGAGACCAUCCGCAAGGUCGUAGCUCUUACGAUAGCCGAGAUAUGGCAUUUUUGAUGCCCAUUUUUGGCCUCAAAAACGGACGUCGAAAACGACUUUUUCAGGAUUUUCAAAGUGCUCUCAUUCCCUUAGUUCUGCUCGGAUCCUGUUAUAACCCGGUGUUUUCGUAAUCUAGGUGAUCCAAAUAAGACGCUGGUAUACUUAGUUUGAUUUCGAAAAAAAUCAAUUUUUGGUGAAAAAUUCGAUACGGGGGGGUAUACCCGAAAAAUGAAAAAACCCAAACUUUGAAGGUCGAUAUCUCGGCUUCUAUGGGAGCUAUCGGAAAAAUUCCAACGGUUUUGUCUUAGUUUCGUCAUUCUGAAUCCAACGAGACCAUCCGCAAGGUCGUAGCUCUUACGAUAGCCGAGAUAUGGCAUUUUUGAUGCCCAUUUUUGGCCUCAAAAACGGACGUCGAAAACGACUUUUUCAGGAUUUUCAAAGUGCUCUCAUUCCCUUAGUUCUGCUCGAAUCCUGUUAUAACCCGGUGUUUUCGUAAUCUAGGUGAUCCAAAUAAGACGCUGGUAUACUUAGUUUGAUUUCGAAAAAAAUCAAUUUUUGGUGAAAAAUUCGAUACGGGGGGGUAUACCCGAAAAAUGAAAAAACCCAAACUUUGAAGGUCGAUAUCUCGGCUUCUAUGGGAGCUAUCGGGAAAAUUCCAACGGUUUUGUCUUAGUUU